rnacentral:rRNA from 1 species
AAUGGACGGAAGUCUGAUGCAGCGACGCCGCGUGAGGGAUGAAGGCCUUCGGGUUGUAAACCUUUUUCGCUUUUGACCAAGGCAGCAUUUUGGUGUUGUUGAGGGUAUGAGGUAAAGAAGCUCCGGCUAACUACGUGCCAGCAGCCGCGGUAAUACGUAGGGAGCGAGCGUUGUCCGGAUUUAUUGGGCGUAAAGGGCUUGUAGGUGGCUUGUCGCGUCUGCCGUGAAAUUCCGCAGCUUAACUGUGGUAGUGCGGUGGGUACGGGCAGGCUUGAGUGUGGUAGGGGAGACUGGAAUUCCUGGUGUAGCGGUGGAAUGCGCAGAUAUCAGGAGGAACACCGGUGGCGAAGGCGGGUCUCUGGGCCAUUACUGACGCUGAGGAGCGAAAGCGUGGGGAGCGAA